GCAUAUCAAUAAGCGGAGGAAAAGAAACCAACAGGGAUUGCCUUAGUAACGGCGAGUGAAGCGGCAAAAGCUCAAAUUUGAAAUCGGCCMCCAGGUCGAGUUGUAAUUUGUAGAUUGUAUCUUGAGAGCGGAUUAAAGUCUGUUGGAACACAGCGCCUUAGAGGGUGACAGCCCCGUAAAAUCUAUUCUCAUUGUAAGAUACUUUCGAAGAGUCGAGUUGUUUGGGAAUGCAGCUCUAAGUGGGAGGUAAAUUCCUUCUAAAGCUAAAUAUUGACGAGAGACCGAUAGCGAACAAGUACUGUGAAGGAAAGAUGAAAAGCACUUUGAAAAGAGAGUGAAAAAGUACGUGAAAUUGUUAAAAGGGAAGGGUAUUGAAUCAGACUUGGUGCUGUUGUUCAACUGUGUUUCGGCAUAGUGUACUCAGCAGUACUAGGCCAAGGUGGGGUGUUUGGGAGUGAAAAAGAAGUWGGAAGGUAACUCUUCGGAGUGUUAUAGCCUACUUUCAUAGCUCCUCAGGCGCCUCAGGACUGCGCUUCGGCAAGGACCUUGGCAUAAUGAUUCUAUACCGCCCGUCUUGAAACACGGACC
rnacentral:rRNA from 2 species